rnacentral:sRNA from 1 species
ACACACCCCAGUCCUUAGAGAUAGUUGUUGUUUUCCGAUUUUUCCUCCCUGUUUUUUAUUUUCUCUUUUUUCUUACGCAAAAGAUAGCACAUACUCUAUGCUACAUAUGCUGUUUUGUACUUUGCUUUUUUUCAUUUCAGAAAAUCUCCUGGAAAUCACUGCACACCAGUUUGCAGAGAUUGUCUUCACUUUUUUUUUUUUAAUAGCUGCAUGGCACUGCACUGUGUGUAUGCUGUGCAUAUUCCAUAGUUAUUCUGCCAGUCUCCUGUGCUUGGACAUUCAGGUGGUUUCCAGUAUUCUGCAGUAACAAAUAAUCUUAUGCUGAAUAAUUCAUAUAUACAUAUCUUAAUAUUGUUGGAAUUGUAUGGUUGAAGUGUAAAUGCAUGUUGUUUUGUUAGAUAUUGCCAUUGGAAUUGUACCUUUUUGGAAAAAAACAUUUCCACCAACAAUAGAGUGUAUUUCCACAGAGUGUAUUGACAAGCUUUUGGAUUUUUGUUACUUUGAUGAGUGAAUAAUGGUGCAGUAUUAAUUUUAAUUAAACAUCUUUUAAUAUGGUCAAGGCUCAUGUUUAUAUCUUUUUAUGAAUUGUCCGUUCAUGUCUUUUGCCCAUUUUUCUAUAGGAUUUUGGCCAUUUUUCUUCAGUUUUUAAAAGUUCUUCAUAAAUUAGGAAUAUUAACCUUUAAUUUGUGACACACCUUGUGAAUAUUUAUUCUAGUUUGUCAUGUGUUUUGACUUUGUUUAUGGUGCUUUUUAUCAUGUAUAUUUUUAAUUCUUAUAUAGUCAAGUGUAUUUCCUCUGGGUUUUGAGUUGUAGUUAAUGUCUUUCCUUACACUGUGACUAAAAUGGAAUUUGUUGAUUUUCUUCUAGUACUUGUACAGUUUUAUUUUUUACAUUUAGAUCUCUUAUGUGUCUGGAGUUGAUUCUUAUGUACGGUAUGAGGAAUGCAUCUAAUUAUAUAUUUUUCCAAUAGCUAUCCAAUUGUCCCAAUACUGUUUAUUAAAAAAACUCUUUGGUGAUUUGACAUCACACCUUUAUUAUAUUUUUGUACAUAAUUAGGUCUGUUUCUGGACUGUUUAUCCUGUUUCAUCCAUCUGUCUACUCAUGUGCCAGUACCAUACUGUUUUAAUUUUAAAGGCUUUGUAGUCUGUUUUAUUAUCUGAUGGGGCUAGUCGCCCUCAUAACUCUCUCUUUUCAGUAUUUUUCUAGCUGUUCUUUUGUGUUCAUUUUUCUAUAUGAGAAUUUUAGAGUCAAUGCAUGUAGCUCUCUAAGCAAAAGUGUUUUCUCUGGUCCCUUUACAUCCAAGCUUCUUAAAAGACUGUUCAAUACUGAUUUUAAUUCCUCUCCAUUUCCUUCUUUAGUCCUCUCAAAGAUUCCUUUGUCCAUUGUGAUCACAUUAAAUUUGUAAAUUUGAGUACAAUUAAAAUAACUCUGCCAAAAAUAUGUCAGUAACUGAUUCCUCUGCAGUGAUUAUGAUUUAAUCAGAUUGACGUAAAUUUUCUAAUUUAUCAGCCUUUUAUUUUUGAGAAGCAUUUUUCUUUUUUUUUGGCAGAAGACAGUGUCUAGAAGCAGUUGAAAAGCAUUUUUCACAUAUUUGUGAAAUAAUAUAAAGAUUUUAAGUACUGACCAGUGUUCAAUUUUUAUUUUAGAUUUCCAUGGUGUCAGUGAUUCAUAUUCCUGAUAGGACUUAUAAACUAUCCUGCAGAAUAUUGUAUCAAUAUUUACUCUUGGCUCAAGGUCAAUUUCAUGAUCUUAAGCAACUUUUCAUGUCUGCAAAUAAUAAUUUCACUCCCUCCAACAAUUCCUCUUCAGAAGAAAAAAACACAGACAGAAGUUUGUUGGAAAAGGUGGGACUCUCUGAAAGUGAAGUUGAGCCAUCGGAAGAGAACAGCAAGGACUGUGUUGUUUGCCAGAAUGGGACUGUGAACUGGGUACUCUUACCAUGCAGACACACAUGCCUGUGUGAUGGCUGUGUGAAGUAUUUUCAGCAGUGCCCAAUGUGCAGGCAGUUUGUUCAGGAAUCUUUUGCACUUUGCAGUCAAAAAGAGCAAGAUAAAGACAAACCGAAGACUCUUUGAAGACAUCGUAACACUGAAAAGUACACUUUCUACUAAAGAUGCAGAAAUUGAUGAUCUUGGAAUUCAUCAUAACAUGGAAUCUACAGUACUGACGAUCAAUGAAAAUUCUAUUUUAACUUCAUAUUUGUAUGGUACUUGGAUGAUAAAAAUUAAUUAUUCCUUUCUGCUUAGUGAAUGAAUACUGGAAUCCGUCUGUGUUGAUACAUAAAAAUUCAUUCAACUCUUGAAAAG